AUUUGUAUGAUCAUGGAUCGCAUGCGUCUGUCGGCGGGCAGGCACGCGUAUCCCUUCCUUCUGCCCUGAGCAGACCGCCAG
rfam:Synechococcus sp. WH 5701 scf_1099465003791 genomic scaffold, whole genome shotgun sequence.